rnacentral:rRNA from 1 species
UACGUAGGCAGCAAGCGUUGUUCGGAGUUACUGGGCGUAAAGGGUGCGUAGGCGGCUUUUUAAGUUUGGUGUGAAAUCUCCCGGCUCAACUGGGAGGGUGCGCCGAAUACUGAGAGGCUAGAGUGUGGGAGAGGAAAGUGGAAUUCCUGGUGUAGCGGUGAAAUGCGUAGAUAUCAGGAGGAACACCGGUGGUGUAAUCGGCUUUCUGGACCAUAACUGACGCUGAUGCACGAAAGCGUGGGUAGCAAACAGG